AAAAUCAAUAAAAUAUAUUUAAAAAAAAUUAGAAUGGAGUGGGGCAGACGGGGAGGCUCUGCCCAGGAGUGCAGUGGCUGGUGGGAGGUGCUCUGGGUGGUGCUGCCCUCAGCCCCCUCUCUGCUGUCCCCUACCCUCAGCCUCAGGCUGCAGACCUUGCUGUGCCCCAUCUGGAAUUCUUGAUCCUGGCAUAGCUAGCUCCCCCACUCCUUCCAGUCUGGCGGAUGCUACUUUCUCAGUGGGGACUUCCCUGGCCCCUGGUUCCCUCUCCCAUCUCUCUGCUCAGGUAUGAGCUGCUGCUCUUGGGCUCCUGUGAAUGGAAGACAAUAACCUUAUGCACUCCGCUGGUUGGUGGGCAGGGCUAAGCCACUGCUGGCAUGUGACGAGUCUAUAUUUUUACUGCUGUUAUUGUCGUGUGGGGGCUGGUGGUGCUGGGCAGGUGCCAUGAGAACGUCAGACAGGAGGGAUCUCCCGCUGAGACCUGGGGAAGAGAGGGUUAUCUGGCCAAGGACAGGGUGGAGAGAUGAAGACAGGUUGCCACCCAGCAGUGGUCAGGUUUCAUGACAAUGGUGCACGCAGGGGCAGGAUCCUGAGCGGCCACGUCAGGGAUUCACUCAGGGCGGGAGGAGGAUCCGUCUCAGACUCAACACAGAAAACCUGUGGUGACAGACCCUCAGAGGGGCUGGUGACUGUUUCCAAAUCAAGUCAUGCCGUCAUUAAAGUUCACUGGAUUAUCUCAAGAGCAUUUUAUCAGGAACGCCAAUUCCAUCCCAGAAGGAAAUUCUGCCCAGACCAGGCGAGGGGAAAUUUUCAAGGAACUAGAUGGAGCUCGAAGCAUCUUCUCCAGCAGAUCCAAUAGGUGGUCCUCCAGCGGCAGCCUGGGGACUCACGGUCUGGCAGCCCCUGCAGACCUGGUGCGGGACCGGCUGAGGUGGGCUGAUAGCCGGCUGCCGAUCCACAGGCCCAAGGGCUUGAGGAAGGCACAUGGGUCACAGCCCAGCCUCCAGGAGGAGGAGACUUAGACACCAGGACAAGUGCACCCUUUUGCAAAGUCCCGAGGCAAGGAUACUGGAGGAAGAUGAUCCUGCAUUGGGUGGAUAUGAAGGCAUUCGGUAUGAUGGAUGCACUAAGCAGCAGGCCAAUGCAAUAUUACCUGCAGAUCCCGGCAAAGACUCAGAAAGUCCAGUUGGCAACUUGGGCAGGGAUGGCGGCCCUCUGCUCCAUCUAGUCAUUCAGGGAAGUGCUGCUAUUGUUGACAUGAGGAUUUAAGGUCACCCCAGGAGGGUGAAGACAGCACAAGCAGGACUGGGCAACAGGUAUUUGUGGGUUGGGUCUGGGAGUGGCCCACAGCAUUCCUACCCAAAUCGAUUCCAGAACUCUGUGACACGGCUCUACCUGGUGCAAGAGGGGGUGGGAGGUACAGAUCGGCUGAGAGGGUGGUCCGCAGGGAGCUGGCAGCGGGGCAUUUGCUUUCUGACGCCUUAGUUUGCUGCUGCUGACUGUGGCGACAGGAGUAACUCCCCAGGGGACCUCAGGGAUAGUGUGUUUGCAAUGACUCUGUAGCACUAACUUCGUGGAUUCAAUCCCUUUCUGCUCAAACUAAGCGUCUGCAACCUAUACCCAGACCCUGGCUUUUACAGUCAGGGAGGUGAGAGGUCAAGGAAGAGGGAGGCAAGGAAUCUCGUGGAUGGAGAUGAUGAGGUCAGAACUGGGAUGCACAGGCAACUCAUGAUCAAGACACCAAAAUCUUCAGUGCCUGAGAGGACGUGGUUGACCAGAGGGGCUCAUUAAUCACCUCUCUGUUCCUCCUGCUUUGUGCUCUGGUGUGUAUGUAUAAUAAACGUUUUAAAAUGCA